CUGAGAGGUUGAACGGCCACAUUGGCACUGAGACACGGCCCAGACUCCUACGGGAGGCAGCAGUGGGGAAUAUUGCCCAAUGGGGGAAACCCUGAUGCAGCGACGCCGCGUGGAGGAAGAAGGUUUUCGGAUUGUAAACUCCUGUUGUGAGGAAGAUAAUGACGGUACUCAACAAGGAAGUGACGGUUAACUACGUGCCAGCAGC
rnacentral:rRNA from 1 species